CCUACGGGAGGCAGCAGUGGGGAAUAUUGGGCAAUGGAGGCAACUCUGACCCAGCAACGCCGCGUGAAUGAUGAAGGUCUUCGGAUUGUAAAGUUCUUUUCUAAGGGAAGAAGAAAGUGACGGUACCUUAGUAAUAAGCUUCGGCUAACUACGUGCCAGCAGCCGCGGCAAUACGUAGGAGGCAAGCGUUAUCCGGAAUGACUGGGCGUAUAGGGUGCGUAGUUGGUUUGACAAGUUAGUAGCGCAACUCCGGAGCUCACCUUCGGAACUACUACUAAAACUGGUGGACUUGAGUGCAGGAGGGGCAAUCGGAAUUCCUAGUGUAGCGGUGGAAUGCGUAGAUAUAAGGAGGAACACCAGUGGCGAAGGCGGAUUGCUAGACUGUAACUGACACUGAGGCACGAAAGCGUGGGGAGCAAACAGGAUUAGAUACCCUAGUAGUC
rnacentral:rRNA from 1 species